GACGAACCGUGCGAACGUUGUUCGGAAUCACUGGGCUUAAAGGGCGCGUAGGCGGCCUUCUAAGUCAAACGUGAAAUCCCUCGGCUCAACCGAGGAACUGCGUCUGAUACUGGAAGGCUUGAAUCCGGGAGAGGGAUGUGGAAUUCCAGGUGUAGCGGUGAAAUGCGUAGAUAUCUGGAGGAACACCGGUGGCGAAGGCGGCAUCCUGGACCGGUAUUGACGCUGAGGAGCGAAAGCGUGGGGAGCGAACAGG
rnacentral:rRNA from 1 species